UUCACCUAUUCAUUAUCUCAGGUCCAUCUUAGGGGCCCACAGCAAUUGUGCUAGGUCAUAAAAGGCAUUGCAGGCAGCUUCAGCUUUGCUCUCUUGUAUCACCUGUUAUGGUGAUGAAAGCCAGCUUCCAAUGCCAUGAAGAUACUCAAGCAGCCCUAUGAAGAUGUUCACAUGGAGAGGAACUGAGGCCCCAGGCAAAGGCCAGUACCAACUUGCCAGCAAACUAUAAACAAAACACAUUGUUUGAGAUGUCUCCAAGCUUGGCAACACCUGAGCUGGCACGUCAAAAGGAAGAUCGGUUUAGGCAGAUAUUUGGCAUCAGUAACCAUGAUGAAAAUCUCAAACACCAGGCACUGCAUUUCAUGAACAUGUGUUGAACUGAAAUAAAUUUUGCUUAUAGAUUUAGAGAAAAUCUUGCUUCUUAUCAAAACAAUAAAAAUAGUACUGUUAACUCUUGAGAAAAAGCCAUGUUAAAAAUGAUUUCUGUAAAGUCAUCUUACUAUAUCAUCUAUAGGCUCAUUAUGAAAGACCUAAAAAUGUGAUACCUUUGAAAUCAGGGGAAGAAGAGGUCCUGUUUUUUUCAUGAUGUUAUUC